rnacentral:tRNA from 1 species
UCUAAUAUGACAGACUAUAUGUAAUGGAUUUAAACCCCAUCUAUAAAGGAAUAUCCUUUUUUUAGAA